AUCUAAAUAGUUUAAGGAAAAUAUUGGUUUGUGGUGCCGGUGAUAUAUUUGUAUAUUUUAGAUU
rnacentral:tRNA from 1 species